rnacentral:rRNA from 1 species
ACUCCUACGGGAGGCAGCAGUGGGGAAUCUUGCGCAAUGGGCGAAAGCCUGACGCAGCCAUGCCGCGUGAAUGAUGAAGGUCUUAGGAUUGUAAAAUUCUUUCACCGGGGACGAUAAUGACGGUACCCGGAGAAGAAGCCCCGGCUAACUUCGUGCCAGCAGCCGCGGUAAUACGAAGGGGCUAGCGUUGCUCGGAAUUACUGGGCGUAAAGGGAGCGUAGGCGGACUGUUUAGUCAGAGGUGAAAGCCCAGGGCUCAACCUUGGAAUUGCCUUUGAUACUGGCAGUCUUGAGUACGGAAGAGGUAUGUGGAACUCCGAGUGUAGAGGUGAAAUUCGUAGAUAUUCGGAAGAACACCAGUGGCGAAGGCGACAUACUGGUCCGUUACUGACGCUGAGGCUCGAAAGCGUGGGAGCAAACAGGAUUAGAUACCCUGGUAGGAUAGCG